AUUGAACGCUGGCGGCAUGCUUUACACAUGCAAGUCGAGCGGCAGCGCGGCCUUCGGGCUGGCGGCGAGCGGCGAACGGGUGAGUAAUGCAUCGGAACAUGCCCAGUCGUGGGGGAUAACACUUCGAAAGAAGUGCUAAUACCGCAUACGUCCUGAGGGGGAAAGCGGUGGAUCGCAAGACCUCGCGCGAUUGGAUUGGCCGAUGUCAGAUUAGCUAGUUGGUGGGGUAAGGGGCUAACAAGGCGACGAUCUGUAGCUGGUCUGAGAGGAUGAUCAGCCAACAUGGGACCUGGACACGGCCCAGAAUUCCACGGGGGGCAGGAGUGGGGAAUUUUGGACAAUGGGGGCAACCCUGAUCCAGCCAUUCCGGGUGGGUGAAGAAGGCCUUUGGGUUGGAAAGCUCUUUCGGCAGGAACGAAACGGUGGGCUCUAACAUAGUCCGCUAAUGACGGUACCUGAAGAAGAAGCACCGGCUAACUACGUGC
rnacentral:rRNA from 1 species